rnacentral:rRNA from 1 species
UACGUAGGGUCCGAGCGUUGUCCGGAAUUACUGGGCGUAAAGAGCUCGUAGGUGGUUUGUCGCGUUGUUCGUGAAAACUCACAGCUUAACUGUGGGCGUGCGGGCGAUACGGGCAGACUAGAGUACUGCAGGGGAGACUGGAAUUCCUGGUGUAGCGGUGGAAUGCGCAGAUAUCAGGAGGAACACCGGUGGGCGAAGGCGGGUCUCUGGGCAGUAACUGAC